GAUGAACGCUGGCGGCGUGCCUAACACAUGCAAGUCGAGCGAAGCACUUUGCUUAGAUUCUUCGGAUGAAGAGGAUUGUGACUGAGCGGCGGACGGGUGAGUAACGCGUGGGUAACCUGCCUCAUACAGGGGGAUAACAGUUAGACAUGACUGCUAAUACCGCAUAAGACCACAGCACCGCAUGGUGCGGGGGUAAAAACUCCGGUGGUAUGAGAUGGACCCGCGUCUGAUUAGCUAGUUGGUAAGGUAACGGCUUACCAAGGCGACGAUCAGUAGCCGACCUGAGAGGGUGACCGGCCACAUUGGGACUGAGACACGGCCCAAACUCCUACGGGAGGCAGCAGUGGGGAAUAUUGCACAAUGGGGGAAACCCUGAUGCAGCGACGCCGCGUGAGCGAAGAAGUAUUUCGGUAUGUAAAGCUCUAUCAGCAGGGAAGAAAAUGACGGUACCUGACUAAGAAGCACCGGCUAAAUACGUGCCAGCAGCCGCGGUAAUACGUAUGGUGCAAGCGUUAUCCGGAUUUACUGGGUGUAAAGGGAGCGUAGACGGAUGGGCAAGUCUGAUGUGAAAACCCGGGGCUCAAUCCCGGGACUGCAUUGGAAACUGUUCAUCUAGAGUGCUGGAGAGGUAAGUGGAAUUCCUAGUGUAGCGGUGAAAUGCGUAGAUAUUAGGAGGAACACCAGUGGCGAAGGCGGCUUACUGGACAGUAACUGACGUUGAGGCUCGAAAGCGUGGGGAGCAAACAGG
rnacentral:rRNA from 1 species